GAUGAACGCUGGCGGCGUGCUUAACACAUGCAAGUCGAACGGAAAGGCUCCUGCUUGCAGGGGUACUCGAGUGGCGAACGGGUGAGUAACACGUGGGUGAUCUGCCCUGCACUUCGGGAUAAUCCUUGGAAACUGGGUCUAAUACCGGAUAGUACCACAUUUUGGAUGGUGUGGUGGAAAGUUUUUCGGUGUGGGAUGAGCUCUCGGCCUAUCAGCUUGUUGUUGGGGUAAUGGCCUACCAAGGCGUCGCCGAGUAGCCGGCCUGAGAGGAGGUACGGCCAGACGGGAACUGAGACAGGGGCAAGACGACGAAGGGAGGCAGAAGUGGGGAAUAGUGAACAAUGGGGGCAAGACGGAUGAAGACAUGCCGAGUGUAGGAAGAAGGACUGAGGGUGGGAAAGUACGGGCAGAGGGGAGGAAGGGAGUAAAGUUAAUAACGGAGAUCAGUGAAGGUACCAGAAGAAGAAGCAACGGCUAACUCAGUG
rnacentral:rRNA from 1 species